rnacentral:tRNA from 1 species
AGAUUAAUAAGUUAAACUAUAAACUGUGGGGUUCAUGUCCCCAUAAUAUACUGUAAGGUAUUUGAUCGA